GUGUUAUUGUGUGUGUUAGUGUGAGUGUUAGAGUGAGUGUUAGUGUGUGUGUCUGCUAGUGUGUUAGAGUGAGUGUUAGUGUGUGUGUCUGCUAGUGUGUUAGUGUCAGUGUUAGUGUGUGUGAGUGUUAGAGUGUGUGUCUGCUAGUGAGUGUUAGUGUGUGUGAGUGUUAGUGUCUGCUAGUGAGUGUCAGUGAGUGUGUUACUGUGUGUGUCUUAC